CGAGAGCACUGGGAGGGAGAGAUGGAGACUGAUGUACCCCAUUGUACCAUAUGUGCUGGAACUCCAGGACCAAAUGGAGCAAUUAGCCAAAUCCGUUCAGGCUAACCUCCAGUUGGCCCAGAGGAGACAGAAGGUAUGGUAUGAUCGGGGGGCACGGAAGAGAAUCUUUACCAUAGGGCAAAAGGUAUUAGUACUUAAGCCGGUUAAGACGGACAAACUCCAAGCCUCCUGGCAGGGGCCCUACCAAGUAGUAGAGAAGAG